ensembl:lncRNA
AGUUACUAGUUACUGCGUAUCAUCUGCCUGGAAAUGGAAACCUUUACCGUUUUAUUAAACCACCAAAGGGCAAAAUAUUAGAGAAAAGAUGAGAACCAAGAAAAGGUCCCGGUGGCACAUAACCGACCUUCUUGUGGAUGAACAGUUUGUGUAAAUUAAAAGUAAGAUCUGUGGGGUAAUUCUGAUUUAAACAAGGAGAGAGCAGUCUAAGUGAAACUUAAUGAUUUCCUGCACUGAGGUCUAGAAGCGGAGUCAGGGCCCUAGGAGAGUAAGUAGGAAGCCAUUUACCACUUCUGUCGUCCUUUGCUGUGCUGUGAAGUUUUCUGAAGCCAGAUUGGCGAAAGUCAUACCGGUAUUGGGAUGACAGGUGAUUCACUCGUUGCUGUUGAUCACAUUUGAGGCCAUGUACGGAUUUUUUGGGGAGAUAACCCCGUUUCUCACGGUGCCGCAAUUAAGAGAGCUGUUUAUUAUAUUUACUAGUGGGCUGAGAAUUUGAAGAGGGUCCUUUAAUUAACUCUGAAGGAAUAGGGUUGAGUAAGCAAGUAGUAGCUGCGGAGAAUACUCCCAAUUUCAGAGAGUGAAUGAGGAGAAAUGAUCUACAAGUGGGCAUUGUUGUUUUUCUGAUGUCAUUCUUGGGGAUAAAGCAUUCUGUGAGGUCAGUUACAGCUCACUUAGUGUCAAAUAUAAAUGUUUCAGGCAUCAGGCUGGAGCGCUGAGCUGUUCCGCCAUCCUAAGUGUCUGGCUUAGUUAGAACAGGCAGGCUUGUGACCCACAAAGCACUUUUGAGUUAAUAUUUGUCGGGAUGGAGCUGGCCAAGAUCAGACUGUAUUACGCUGGAUGAGAGCCACAUCUUCAGCUUGCUCAGUUCUCUUCUUUUUUUUAAGUGCUUUCAUCUUGGAGAGGCAGUAUCAAUGUUGUAGUUCUGGCUUUGAAAUAGUCACUUCAUUCUCUGACUUGCUCUCUGUGAUUAAUUCAUUACCGUUUCCAAGGGACUUCUGUUGAUGAAGGAAGAGCUUCUUCUUCUUCUAUAUGAACCCACACGUGGCCUCCACUCAUGCACACUAUUCAGGUCACUAUGUAACCCUCACCUACUUCCUUUAUUCCAAUUUAAACUUGUGAGAGCAUCGCAAACCAAGUGAGUUGGUCAUUUUAUAUACAGUAUAUGUGCAACUUUUUCAAUUUCCACAAACUGUAAUAUUUACUUUUUCUUCACUCCUUUUUUUUUACUCAAUCGUGGCUUUGGAUCUCUCCACUGUGGGGAAGGAGGACAUUGGGAGGAGGACCUACCGAGCGCUGGAGCUGAAGCCUGAGGCACAGCUGCAAUAACGGAGCGGUUGGCCUCGUCUUCAUCACAGCAACAGUCAAGGUUCCUCCUGGGUUCUUUGAUGUGGGCGGCUCUGAAUAAGCAGGUGGGUGGACUAGAAAUAUGUUCAUUAAACAGCAGUGGAAUGACUGCAGCUACCACUUUGAUCUGGAGAGAGAGAGGAAAGAAUAUCUUCUUGAUUGUUACAAAAAUAGUUCAUUUAGAGGAUGAAUUUAGUACCUUUAGUUAUUGCUUGUAUUUAAAUGUCUUGUUAUGUUAAUCAUCUUAAACGUUUUUUAAUUCUGAAUGGUUUUUUUACUGACCCACCUCACAUGAGACAUUGCGUGAGUUACACUCAGGACAACAUUCAGAUUCAGAUUGAUUUAGUGUUGCAUGAGAGGAGCCUUUUGACCCUUUUCUUCAGCUUUCCACCUGGAAGCGAGUAGAAUUUGUCCACAUAUCACAAUGCAGUCAUUGGGUGUCUCGGUAGGUGAGCUGUAAAUGAAUCUCAUGGUUGAAGUAGUAUUCAGCUGCUUCCAUAAACACUCUUACUGAUUGAUAUUUUCCAUAGCGUUACAUAAAUGUUAUAUAAUGUUCUGCCGCGAGAUGAGUGGGCAAGUGGAGCUGCACGGGCAAGAAAGUUUGUAUUAAAGUAUAAUGUGUUGGUUGAAAGAAAAACGUUUCGUGGCGGAGUAAAUCCUUCAGGUCGACUUUCUACCCAGAAGCGUUUCGGUUUGUGACUUUUGAGGCCCGGUAUUCAGUCAUAUCCUCUACAAACCAACCGCCUCACCUUCAAACAGCUACACCAGAAUAUAAAACCAAUGUCCCCAUCGAAACAGCCAGUUACGUUGAAUUCAUUUCAACUGACAGACGCAGAGAGACAUCAACGUGACUCUGACAUGGAAACAGGGAAGGAGACUGAUGAAGGCGGACAGAGAGAAAGGGUACGAGGAGCUGGAGCCGGUGCAUGUGUUGCUGUUUGUUUUAUUUAAAAGGGAGAUCAGGUGGAAAUUAGGCCAUACUCUCCUUCCUGAGACAUUUACAACCCGGCAUGAGCAAGUUCCAAAAAAAUGGAACAGAAAAAAAGAAAAUGAGGCCUGCUGACUUGACAAAAUGCAAAAAAAAGCCCUGUCCCUUUGCCAAAAGUCAGAGAGCAGCAAAACUUUGAUCCAUCACCACCUGAGCGUGGGGAGAUAAUAAGAAGCCUCAUCUGCCCUUUUCCCGUCCUCCACAAUCAUUAACAUAAUUCUGUAUUAAUCAGCUGCCGCCUCCGCUACUCAGCAGCCGAGAUCUAAAAAUGACCCCGAAAACUCUGACUUGGCUUCCUCCUCAGAUGGGAGGAGUUAGAGGGGGGUGGGAGAGGGGGUGAAGAGUUUUGGGGGACGGAGUGGGUGCCGGGGUAUCCCAAGGAUUGUGAUCCCGCGCUUGGUAUAAAAAGGGGAAGCCUUUGAUGUGUGGAUGGAGUCGCGUCCUAAUGGGGGCUCGUGACACGGCGGUCUGCCCCUGCCAGACUGGAGGUGGCAUCGCAGAGCGGCAGCCGAGCGCGCUGAAACACUCCUGCUGUUCUCCGCUUGUUCAGCCAGGUUCUGUCACUGCCAGCCCAGUGCUACACUUUUGGUCUGUGCAGCUACACUUUCAAUUAUUCAUCGGCCCGCAGCACCUUGCAAACAGAGACGGGGACGCACAUCUGCUGCUGUUAGCACUCAACAUCUUUCCGUUGUUGUUUUUUCAACCGAUUCUAUGUUUUACCUUGAAACUAACAAGUUCCGUUUGCAAGCGGGAAAAUACUGGGAAAUCUCUAAAUCCAGGCCGGUGACUCACCACUGCUACGCACUUUCAGUCAAAUACGUGUUCUGCAACUACAAGCACAUCAUGUGUCUUGCAAGUGGUACCAGAUGAAGAACACCUACGCAAUAAGAAGUGAUGGUGUGGUACCUUCAAGGAUUUUUAGGCUUGUUUUAUGGCCCGGAGACCAGGUUUAUGGAAGUAGGCUUAUUGGUUUUAUUGAACAUUUACACAAUGUUCACUCUGGUGAUUCAAAUCAAACAUUUCAGAUAUUCGUAUUUACAGAGUGAGAGGGAUAGAAUUUUAAAGUAUCUUAUGAAUAUCUGAUGAUAGAAAAUGUCCCCAGCCUGAGUCAAUGAUGGAGACAUGCCAGCGCUCGCUUUAGCAAUUGACACAUUUUAGCUAUAUGUGAGGAUGUGUCAGAGGUGCACGGCACGUUGCAAUUUCAUUAUUUCAACUGGUUACAAGAGUGCACAAGCAAUGAUGGUUAUUACAUUUGUCCAUUUUUAAAGACUGAGAAGAAUCUCUACAUAAAUUCAGGCAAUUUGCCUUCCUGCUGUCUCCCAUCUUGAUGUCAGUGUUGUCAAAGGUGCUAUAACAUAAGAUUACGAGCUCAGCUAAUUCUUUUAAAUUCCCCAAUGCGGGAGGAAAUCCUGUUGUAUUUAUUAGAUAUGACUUGCAUCGCUUGAAUCUGAACAUAUGCAGACAAGGCAGUGUAAACUCAAUAUCAAAUGUUAUUAUUAUGAAGGUAUAUUUUAUUACCGUUCUGCCCCUCGCAACCUUCCAUCAUGGAGACCAUAACAAAGCCGGGAUUAAAGCGCCGCUGGCUGCCUCAGCAGACAGAGGAAGAAGACAGCUACUCGCAGGGUUACAGUGAUUAUAUACUCUGUGCAACCUUUUAUUGUUGUUAGACCUCCAAACUAACCAUGGAGAAGGAGCCCUUUCCAUUCAGCUGAAUAUUACUCCUCAUACAGCAAGAUACAGGAGCGUUUUUCAUUGAGAAAGUGUAUCCAAACUUCUGAAUGAUACUGCAUCCGUUUGAUUAGAAUGCUGAAUGAUAUGUGUUUGCAUCAUUGUUAUUUCUCCUAGGGAGGUCAAACCCCCCUGGAAGGGAAACCUGAGUAUCUACUGGCCUCGGUGAAUCGUUGGAAAUGGCCCAACCAGGAUUGCAGGCAGCGGCCUGUGGGCCUAAAAACGUUUUAGGGAUGUUGAAUUUCACCCCCUCUGCCGGGGUCGGAAGCUGAGCUGGAGGUAGACCGGCCAACUAAAUAUCAACUCGACGUAUCUACCUUUCGUGGUGCAUCUGAUCCGUGACAAUUUGUGAUUGUAAAUGCGUCAUAAAAACAAUCAUGUUUUGUAUUCGCAGAUCCAGUGUCAUCUGACAUUGUCAACAACGGAUCUGCGUCGAAACCGCCAGGGGAGCUGGAGACGGGGGCGCUAACGCACGAGGUAGAGUUACGCAAAGGUAAAUCAUUAUACCAAAUGUCAUGGGGCGUUGAUCCUUUUGGUUAGAAACUUGACUAAAUUGAACAUCAAAUUGAUCAUAUAACUGAAUUUUGAAUUCUCCGAGCAAUAUAUAAUACAUUUUAAUCAAUACUAAUAAAACACUUAUUUUCAGUUAAUACUGUGGCGAGCUUGGCCAGAAUGAGACAAGAAUUACUUUCACUUUAUUGAUUGAUUUAAGUGCAUUCAAAGAUUGUCCCAUAAUGCAAUGCGCCUACCAGCGCAGCCUAACGCAAUCUGCCGCUCCGAUCGCUACAUAGCCCCCACCACAAAGUCUCUCCAAGGUCCCGGUAGACGCCGUUGGCGUACAGGCCGUUGUCGGCUUGCAGAAGGCACAUUUGGGGAACCACUUGUACCAGCACAUGGUCUGCAACCGUCACUGCCCUCUCCAGUCGUGGCCGGAUCUAGGGGGUGGUACGGUGAAAGUCUGUCCCGGUGUAGCACCACUGUACGUCCCCGGCUAGGCAUGCGCACCCGGUAUACCACCUCAGACAGGCGUUCCAAAAUCUCGCCAGGCCCCUGCCAGUGGCUGCAAAGCUUAGGGGAGACGUCCUUCUCCCGGACUGGACAAUACACCCAGAUCCGGACCCCGGGUACGAGUGCUUGCCCCCGGCCCCUGGUGUCAUAGGCCCAUUUCUGCCGCACUCCGGAGCUGGCCCGGGCCUGGCGAGUAGAGUCAUGGACCACCUGCAGGCGAUCCCUCAAUCGACGACAGUAGUCCAUCGCUAAACACCAAGUCAACUGGGGUCCGUAGUUCUCGGCCGAACAUGAGGGCAGCAGGUGUGCAUCGGCUGGACUCCUGGACAGCUGUCCGGUAGGACCACAGGACCAAUGGUAGGUGGCGGUCCCAGUCACGCUGGUGUUGGCUGGUGAGGAUAGCAAGUUGGGUGGCUAGCGUGCGGUUGAACCGUUCCACCAAGCCAUCAAUAAUAAAACAAUCACAAAAGCGAUUUCCACGUGACAAUAUGGAUGGACAUAGAUCGCCGAUGGGCAUCGGGGCCGACGAGGGAUCUCUGACACGCACUGUCACUGUCACUGUCGGUUUUAGACGUUGCACUGGUUCUGGGACUCAUCUGCUGGAGAGGUGCCAGACUGUAUUCUUUUCCCAGUUGCUGAUGGUGAGAAGUGUGGGAAGUCCUCCAGUCCCCAGCUCAGCGCUGCUGUGUUGGACGUCUCCCCAGACGAUGGCAGAGUUGUCUCAAUACGAGUCGCUGAGAGGAAUGCUCACACUGUCGCUUGCGCCUACGCACUAAACAAGAAUCAGGGUUAUACGCUAUAUCAUGAAUCCAACCUAAUGAUGGGUUGUGGGAUGCUGAAACAUGAUUUACAAGCAGUUUCUUGCACUCUUCCGAAGGAAAGAACUUAGCGGCAGCAAAAUGUUUCACAUUUGAAUUCAACACCCUCCUGUAAUGGUGAAUCAACCACUUUCAACUUGUGGCUUGGACUGCGAGCUGCUGUUUGCAGUGUUAUUGAGUUUAACGUCUUUAUGUCAUGUGUUGUGUGAUAAAAGCUCCGAAAGAGACAACAAGACAAUGAGCCUAUGAUUUGCUAUUUAGGCUAAAUGAGACUGCUGUAUUCAGCGUAACACACAAGCAUUUUGCAUUUAAACAUAAAUUACGCAUACACACAGAUACACAUUCUUCUAGUGUGCAUGUUCAUCUGCACCUCAAUAUGUUUAUUUUGUUUUAUCUGGGUCUUUGCCAUUGCUUUUGUCUUCUCCGUCUGUGGGAACGCACAAGAAGCUGAACGGCUGUGACAUUGUAUUAGCGCUGUUAAACACAUACGCGUACACAGUCAGCUGGAAGCUGAGAGGCGAUGGUAUAGGUGGAGUGAGAGGUUAUGGAAGACAGGAUCUAGCAGCAGGCUGACGAUUAGCCCCACCGUCACCCCUGUAACACGUACACACACACCUCAUUUAAUCACUCCCACUUCCCCAUCUGUACUGUGAACACCGAAGUAGGUGCCAGCUAUGUGUGUUUGUUAGUGUGUGAAGUUCUGCAUGUACCGUGUUUGAAUGCAUAUGUGUGUGUUGGGGUGGAUUUAUACAUGAGCGUCAGGGAAGUGCAAGAAACUACCGUGCAUGCAGGGGCUCCAGAGUAUCAAGUGUAGCCAGUGAGGAAAUGUCCCUCACGUGAUACCAUAGGUUUAAGCACCUCCCCAUUCCUGGUUCACCAAUUAGUCUGGGUAUAAAGGCUCCCCAAUAGAAUCAAAUUUGUUUAUUAAAACCUUUCUUUUUAUUCUUUGACGACAUUCCCAGAGCUGACGGGAAUUAUUGAAAUUAAUUGUUUCGUACCUUUUUGAUGAUAUUUUAAGAAACUCAAAUAAAUAUUGUACUCUGGGGGAAUAUUGUUGCUUUGGUCUGUUUACACUGGUCAUCUGUGGGUCCGUGGUGGAUUGAUUAAUCUCCCUACGGGACGAUAAGCGCCCCUCCGUACCUACCAGCGGUUACAUAAGGAUUACUUGAUAUUCUUCCCUUUUCUUUUAUCCAGGAGAAAUAGUUCAUUCAAAUGUUUUCUUUAGAAAAGGAGCUUUGUAAUCACAAGAAAACUAUGUUAUUUCAUGUGUUAUUGUGUUUUUUGUCUUGAAUACUAUCUUUGUUAUCUCAUGAUCUUCAGAUUACAUAAUGUUUCUUUUGCCUAAUGAGAUCAUUUAUCCAUCUUGUUUUCUCAACAAUUGGACCACGGAGAUGCAAGUGGUGCCAGUAAUCUUUUAGACAUUACAACUUGUAUACAAAAUCUCAAGAUAGCAUCAUAGCUCACUUGUGAUUUCAAUGGAACGGCACUUGCAUUUUUAAUUGUAACAUCGUACAUCCUAGUUACAGUACGUUUAACAAGACGCACGCUGUCCAAAAAAACUCCUUUCCUUGUGAAAUCUGCCUAAAUAUGGAUUAAGAGCAGUGGCAAAGCCUUCUCUGCUGGCCUGAAUGGAGAGCUCUUAUCCACUUCUGCAUUGAGGUGCAGCACAGCAUUAACGUGUGCUGCAGUUGGUCAGUGGACCAUCCAGAAAGCUAUCUAGCAGAUCGUAUUAUUGUCACGGUGUGGGUUUGUUUCCUGUUUUAUUUUUUAAUUUCCUCCCCUUUGUGUCCCUGGGUAACUUCACUUCCUGCCUUGUCCUGUCAUCCCUGUGAUUGUUUCCACCUGUGUCAAAUCACCUGCACCUCCCCAGUGUAUUUGAGCCCGUGUGUCUUUUGUCCCUUGUCGUGUCAUUGAAUGUAUUCAUGUUACGCCAGCUUGGCAUUCCCUGAAUCUCUUGUGAGUCCCUUGGCAUUUUGAUUUUGACUAUUAGAGUCCUGACUCUGUUCAAAUUAUUAAUUGAAUAAAUUAAUAUCACGCAAAAACUGACAAAAGAAGGCCAUACCGAAUAAUAUAUUAUUUAAAUACUCAAAUAUUCUAAGUUAAAACUUAUCAAAACUCUGCUUUGAGUAAAUGGAAGCAGCUUCACGGGAGCAUCCUCCUUGGUGCCGUCUCUUGGAAGAUGUUUAGGGUUUUCUUUUACAGUUGAAGCAUAAGCAGCAUUACACUAAUAAUAUACCUCACCAGACUGUCAUGUACCUCAACUUAAGACAUUUUUCAUUUCAAUAAUUAACAUUCAAUUAAACAAAACUAGUGAACUUGUAGAACAGUAAAACUACUUUCAAAUUUUCUGCCUGUAUCUCUCUUCCUUAAACUAACGGCAGUAAACAGCUGGACGAGGCUUUGAAAUCACGGAUUUCUAAGUCAUUUGUUUUAUGUUUAGGAAAUUUGCGUUGAAUGUUGUCAGCGGCGCUAAUGACGUGGUUAAUUUAUCACUAAACGUCGGGGGGGAUUCCACGAACACGUCAUUACCUGUGUGAUGCUGCAGCCGUUUGGCGCUCAGCACUCCACUGAGCGGAGGAGGAAGAGGAGGAGGAGGAAGAGCCGCUUGUGAGCGCCGCAGAGCAGUUAGGGGCAUAAUUCUCACAAGAACUCAAAUGCCGGUCAGAUCAAAACACACUUGGGGGGAAUUGAUGACAGUCAUUUUUAUUUUAAAUAUUGAUGAAUAAAGAAAAAAAUAGGCUGCAGCAGAAGGGUCACUUUUGUAAUCCAGCGCAAAGGGGCAGCUGCUUGAGCACCACUAGGGGUCCAUGUGCACGUGCCUCAGUGGAACAACCAAUCAAGACGCUAUUGCCGUGCAACACAACAUAUUCCAGUUGUUAACGGGGUCCAAACAUACUAAAGCACUGACCAAAGUGUCAUAAUAUGCAAAGGUUGUCCACCACAUGUUUGUGUCUCUGUUGGUCAUGCAGAAGCCUCAGAAACCCAGCGGCUGCAAAGCAAUUAUUGCUGCCCAAAGUGACCAUUUGAGGCCUGCAUUUAGUUUCAAGGUUAUAUAUACGUACAUAAAUAAAUUAGGCCAUGGCCAUGUAAACGUGUUUGUUGUGUAACUGAGGAGAGAGAAGCCAAUUGCACAAAUUUGCAAUUAUAAAACUAAAAAUGGAAGGAAGAGAGUUCAGAAAUUCUGACAAAAUUUACCCUUAGUACUCGUCUCCAAGGCUAACUAUGGUAAAUGUAUGGUGCUUUAUUAACCACCCAGACAAAUUUAAAAAACAUUGUCCAGAGAGCAGGUAAGGAGACGGCGAAGGACAGACGGUAAGGUAAGGAGACGGCGAAGGACUCACAGUAAGGUAAGGAAAGGAGACGGCGAAGGACGGUCGGUAGACACCGGGACUUGUACACCACUGCUAGUAGGCUGUAGUGUCGGAGCCGCCAAUUGAGCAACAGAACCCCUUAAGUGCUCAAAUGUAUUGUUUGGAGAUGUGUGAAUCAUCAAUGUUUAUAGCCACGGUUUUAAUAUUUCACCAGUUGCUUCUCUUUUCUUGUGAACGGCGCAGUGCAACACUCUGAAUGCCUCAGGGGAAAUAUCGUCUUAAAGAGUGUGCUGUUAUCCUGAAUUUUGAAUGAUUAUUCCGGUGUCCCUCUCCAGCUUUAAAACACGUGUCUUUAGACACAAUCUGCAGUUGUUUGAGCGUACCAACACCUCAAGGCAGACAGGAGCAUUUGGGCCUUUGUGUACACAAAGUCACACUGAGUGACAGGCAGGGACAGAAUUAUUGUUAUUAGAGAAAAUUUGUAUCAUUUAUUUAUUGUUGCUUCCCUUUGGGAAACGUGUUUUAACUGUAGCUUUUAAUCCGCGUCCCUUCACACUCUCACCAUUGAACCGGAUGCUCCGAGUUGAAUAAAAAAAUAACAAGUCCCUCACCAAUCUUCAAGCUUUUAACCCAUUCUGAAUAUAAAGCUGUUCCGCACUCAUAAAUAAUGCAGUAUGUGUAAAGCAGAUGCAUUACGUCCAGCUCUGUUGUUCAGACACUCUGUUUAAUGAAGAGGCCUUGCUAAGAGCCAUUACCUGAAAGCACAGCCGUCCCCAACGUCUUUUCUCCCCCUGUGAACUAGUUGACCGGAGUAGUUGUGUUGGGAAGGCGGCGACUCGGCCCUCGUUGUGACGGUCUAAUGUCCGUGCUCUGCAAAUUGUGCUGGAAUUGCUCCCCUGGGAAACAUGGAUGUGACAAUGGUCUGUGGAUUAUAAGUACGUGUUCAGAUAGAAUAUUGUGAGUCUGCUUGCCCUUUCCCUUUGAAUAAGGAAUUAAUUAUUCAUCCGCCGAUGGGAAAUAAAGAGUGUGGAGGAGAGGCGGGGAGGGGUUUUUGAACACAAUAGAUUCUGAAAUCUGUUUGGGUGUCAGUGAGGCAAAUGAAGGCAUCAGGAUAAACAGGAGCCGUGGAAACAGACAGAGGAGCAUCUUUAUUCUAAAUGAUAAUGUCCUUGUUUUGCUGAUUCUGGGAACCGAGUCGGCUAUGGAAAUGAAUAAUGCAGGGUGUAGGCAUUCAUGCCAAUGUUCCCACAAACACCUUUCUGUGGCAAUAAUCGCCAUCAGGUUAGUCCCCUGAUAGCGCUGCACCACAUGACACCAGCAGCAGUCAAACACUGUUGUUUUUAUGUUGAAACACAGAGCAGGGCCAUCACUAAAUCUUCUCAGUGUUAAAACACAUCGUUGUUAUUCCCAACUUGUAUCCUAAAUUAUCACAAUUCAAUUUGAAAUUCACCUUUGUUAUCAAGAACCAAUUAAAAUAAUAAUAAUUGCGUUUAGAUGGAAGAGGCAAAGUCUUUGUUUGCCAGAGCGAGAUGUGAGAUAAUUAUAGUUUAUGAAUAUUACCUUGACCCACAUGCAUUGUAAGCGAAAGUCACCGUUUUGAUAAACUGCUCAGUGUUAUAUUUUUAAUGCUACAUAAAAGUGUUGCUGAAAUUUGGGGCAGUGAAUUUGCGGCAGCGCUUUGCACAGACUUGACUUGUUGUGCUCCCUGGGCAACGAUGCACACCGGGACGGGGCAUUUCCUGCUCCGACAGGAAGUGGUGAGUCACCAACAGCGCCACCCUGCAACAGCGUGGACGCCAGCAACCCCGAAUGUAGGAGAGGAGGAGAAGCUGCUUAUGUGGGUGGAAGGGUAUCAGAUGUAAGAUCACUGAGACCAAGGGAGGUGGAGACGAAUGGAGAAGACAAGCCUGAAGAGGAGGAGGCCGUGGUGUGUGUUGUCUUGUGAUGUGUGUGGUAGGUUGCCAGAGAAAAUCGCACAGCGAGAUGCAGCAGAGGACUAUAAAUAAAAAACCCGCUGCCAGCACGCUGGGCAACCUCCAGCCAGGUCGGAGUCGUUUCCAUAGCAGUAAAAGCCAUUUAUCUAAUGUAUUGGCCUAUUACGACCUCUCCUUUAUGUGUUCCCGCUGAGGGAUCCCGUGCAGCCACGCAGCAGGGCCACCGGCACACAAUUGAUUGGGGAGUCGUUCUAUUUCUGUAAGCAGCCCCUCACUCGUGCUUCUAUCUCUUCCUUCAUCCCACCCUUCCCUCCAUCUGUCUCACUCUGCCGCUUCCUCUUCGUCCCCUUCGCCUUUUUUCUGCCUCCGCGCGCUCGCUCUCUAUCGAGGACUGGCCUGCGGGGCGCGUUGUCAGGCUGCUCCGGCAAAGAGGAGAAAAAAAAAGAUCAAUAAUGUCAUUCUGAUUCAAAGCGAUAUAUUUGAAAGACGCGGGGCCGGCGAACCAUUUCUCCGUGGAGUCGUCAGAAGCCCACGUUUUUCUGCGCCGCUAACUUUUUGUCCGUGGUCUCCGCGAUGCCUUUAGAGGCCUCCUGUGGGCUUCGCGCGCGCCCAGCAUUUCUGUGCCGACAGAUUUGGCAGAGUAGCCGCGAGUACAUUCAAGAGAUGUCCGUGUCUGCGAUAAGUACCCUUGAUAUUGGCAUACAAAGGCGCUUCUGCAACAACUCAGGCAGAGGUCUGCCUCAAACUGUCGCUUGAAUCUUUCACAAGGCGGGCCAAGAAUAAAAGAAGAAAUUAUAAAUUCUCAGAAGCCCAAUUUCUUAAGAACAAUUCGAUGGGGAAGGGAAGCAUAAUGCAGAGGUCCAUUAAGCACUCAUGUUUAUUCCAUUUUAAGUCAGCCGGUAUCACUUUCUUAAUGUAAUUAUUGCAGAUAACCAAUUUCUCUUGGCCCUCGGGCUGUACCAAACCACUAAUGCUACUACCGCCUGUAUAAAGAAAAUUGCAUAUCAGCAUGUUUCCUCCAAUCUCAGAGACAGUAAAAUGCAGUCCAGCCGUAUGAGAUGUUUAAAGCCUCGGGUUGCUGUUACGGUUCAAUAUUAACAAGAUGAUUUGAUGAAGUUAGCGCCAACGCAGACAUUUUGUGGUUGGGUAAUUCAGUCCACAUGGCUUGUAGUUGGUUUACCAGAAGUAUGUAAACAGCUGCAAACCUUGUAACAUGCAACGCAGCAAAAAGGGAACUCUUUACUAUUUAUCUUUAUUUUAUAAGCAAUAAAAAGCGCUUACGCGCCCAGACAGCUUUGCCCCCAAGCUCAGUUUUGGGAUGAUUUGUUUUUAUGUACUGGAGGCACAGGUUUUACACAUACCACAUUACGCGUGCAGUUCAAAGAUGUUUUCCUUUUAUUUCUUGAAACUGGCAAACUCUGUUACGAGAUGAUUUGCAGUUGAGAGCUGCAGAUUUUGAAGGAGUAGUUGUAAUGUUCACAGGCCGUAGUUGUAAUGCGUUCGCAGUGGCAUAAAAUGAAUCUGAUAUGAAGUAUGGUGCGUUGCUCUCAUGCAGUCUGCCAGAGUCGGUCGCUGGCAAUUUGUCACACUGCGAGCGGGAAAUCUUUAGAAAGACAGCGGAGGCCAUCUACUUAUGUCCUGUGAUGAAUUGAAAAUUAGAUUGUGGCACAGACUCCAUCCGAGGAAAAUGACCCGUCCACGCUUGGCAAACCGAGCGGGGUCUCCGCUGUGAUUCCGGGGUCCUUCUUGCAGGAGAGGGCCACGGGUUAUUUCCCCAGUUCAAAAGAGAGUAGGAGACGGAUCGAUGGACGAUAAAUGGUAGAAAUCCAUUCUGCCAGCGUGGAGGUGUCAGAAUGGAUGUCAGAAAUCAAGAAAACUGUCCGCAAAUUUGAGGUCGUCUCGUGGGCGGAAUUAUAUUUUUCUGUAAACAUAAAAAAACAUUUGAGAGAAGGAUAUUUAGCCAGGGAGCAGAGGACACAACCAAACCACCCCCAGUGUUUGUCAGGUGUUGUAGUGGGACUGAACCCAAACGCAGAACGUAAACGACGCGGCAGUCGGAAAGUAAAUGGUAAAUGGUAAAUGGCCUGUACUUGUAUAGCGCUUUUCUAGUGUUCUGACCACUCAAAGCGCUUUAACACUACACGACAUCAUUCACCCAUUCACACCCAUUCAUACACUGAUGACAGGAGAACCAUACACAGUGACACCUGCCAUCAGUAACUACCAUUCACACACUGUAGUCGCAGCUACAGGAGCAAUGUUGGGUUAAGUGUCUUGCCCAAGGACACAACGACAUGCGGGUUAGCCGGGCCUGGGAUCGAACCCACAACCCUCUGAUUGGAGGACGACCGUGCUCCCCACUCACCCACAGUCGCCCAGAAAAGCAGGUGCAAGUCGGAUUUAUUCAAUGACACAAGGGUCGGUGAGCGGCAGGAACGGGCGUGAGGACGGUGAGAGUGAAUUCCCAGGUGUACAAUAUCCGGUGAGAAUCCAGCGUGCAGGAACAGACAGGUGCCACUGGAACAGAAGGAGGUGAAACGAGAGGUAAGUAGCGGACGUUGACAGACACAAAACCAAAAAACAACAAACCGUCCGGAGGAGGGAACUCUGACAGUGUUAUGGUUCAUGUUCGACAUCCUAAAGUUUGGAUAUGAGCCCCCCAGAGAUGCCACAGGUGCAGCUAAUGUGGCUAAUUAAGAUGAUUGCUAAUGUGUUAUUGCCUGCUGCAUAGGUGAGCUGACAUAGUGUGAGCCAGGCUAAUCUAAUGAAACCAAUGCAUUAUCAUUAUCGUCAUUAUAUAAAUACGGACGUGGGACAACAACAUGAGGGGAGAAAUUAGUUCAACAGGUCUGCAGCCUUUUGGAUGGAACAGUUGGACUGACGGGGCAGUGAGAUAACAGGCCGUGUAGUGUGAGAGGACAGCGAGCACGCGUCUGGAGAUCACAAACACUCCACUGUUCAGCUUUAGAAACUCAUUUUGAUUGAUAUAAUUCGUUUUGGAUACGAGAAAGCUCACAACUUAUUUUGCCAUCAUACGACUGUCACUUCUUUUUCUGAAGGAUUAGUCUCAUGAAUGUAAAUUAAAAUGUGUACAGAUGAUGACGAUUCUGCACAGAAAGUUAGUCGGGGUUCUCUUUUGUUUUGCCAGGCGAUUAGACUUCUUCUCAGGCUGAAGUUUGGUGGAGCUAUGCUGGAAUUAUUGGUCGACAAACUGCGUGGGAUGAUCAAGGUGUUGACAUUCCACCUGAACAGACGCCACAAAGCUAAUGUGUUGAUUUGAAAGGUUUUGGUCCGUUAGAAAGCCACACACCCGUCUAAGGUUUAAUCAAGCAUGACAAUUAACAUUAUGUGUGGGUGCAGAGGGGCUUUGAGAAAACCAGGUUUCUCAUUGCAGAAAGUCAUGCAUGUCAACAGUGAAUGCCGUUGUGUUCUUGUCAAAAUGCCAAUACAAAUGGCAACAUCAACCUUUUUUGUACAGAAAACAAGAGAUGAAUCUGAAACACAGUGAAUUAUUCACCCUGAGAGGUCGAGAGCAUUUCUUUUUUCUGCCGGCUGCUCGCAGCUAACGGGGCUAUCGCUGCUGUCAGUAUGCUGCAUUCCCUUCAUAUUUGUGACUGCCAAAAUUAGCCUAACUUUUUUUUUUUCCUAUAAUUUUUAAUCAUUAAACUCCCACUUAGAAGGAAGAAAUCAACCAUUUAGAUAUUGAAUAUCGGCCAUCAUACAAAGAAAAUGGAGAAUCAAAUAUGUGCCCAUAUGUUUUCCGGGAGUUUGCACCUGCGGGGGUCGACACCUCACCUGGCAGUCAAUCAGGCUCACAGAUCAAGCUGAGAGUUCACUGGAGCUCCACACGAAGGUGAGUGGAUCCACAGCGGAGGAGCAGUGCUUGAGGCUGUUGACGGGGCCGUGAGACAGGCAGCUAAGAUUUGAGUACGGGCCCCGUGGAGCAUAUUGGAGAACCGGGGGGGGGUACGUGUGCAGGUUGCACGCACGCCAUCGUCUAUCAAUGUCCAGUCUGGAGUCUGGCCUCCGACAAGCCCCGCGGCCCCCAGCUCUCCUCUGCCCAGCUGGACGGCCUCCUCGGCACCCGGUGAAGCCUACAGAGUUAUUUAUUUAUUACACAGUUAAAAUCUAGUCAGAUUAUAAUAGAUAAUAAUUAUGAUGGUAUGUGUCAUUGUUAUUGUUAUGGUACAUGCGUAUUUAUGAUCUGCCAAUAUUAAUGAUACAAUUUCCAUUUAGAUUUUUUGCCUCAAAAUGAGUUUAAAAAAAACCUAUGGGGAAAAUCUCCUCCUGGAUCCGUCUAGAAUGAAGCGUUCAGCAUCACGGCUCGGUGGACGUUUGUGCUGACGGAGGCAUUUAUACGAUGUUUCCAUAUCGCAGCUGCAUCAAUAUAAUAUAUACAGAACUUAAAUCAACCACAUCAUGUUUCAUCAUUAUAGGGAACUGUAAGUAAAGUUAGACGUGUCUUCUGGUUUUCAGUCAAUUAAAUUGCCUUUUAUCUAAAUUCAAUCAUGACUACAUCAAUCAGUAGUCCGUGAAUAUUAGUAAAGAAAUAGCUUUUUUUUGUGUUUUUGUUAUUCCGCCUUGUUUGAUGGAGUCGAGCCGCUGCCUGUGAGUAAUGGAAUUAUUAUCUGUCCCUGUCUUAAUUUUGAUGCAUGAAGCUUGUUUGAGGCUAUAUUUGAAGUUUCAGGUAUAGCCGCCAUUAGUUAUUCCUGACAGUGAACACAACACAUUCAUAUGUUAAUGGUGCUCCUCUUCCUCCUCAAACACUUGUAGUGACCCCGAGGAAGCCGCCUGACAGCCUGUUUACCGUUUUACUUUUUAAACCUUUUUACCAUAUUUCUUAGACAUGUUUCCUCUUCGUAUUGCACAAUAAUUGGCAACCUGUUCCAAAUUUGCACGACGUGUCUACGGGACCCCUCAGAGAAACAGACAGGUUUGGUUCUUAAAAUUAUUAUUUUAAUUUAUAACUCCUCACAUUAGAGACAGUUUCUGUGAAAUGCAGAACAUGUAUUGAUAAGAAAUAAAGGAAAUGUAUAGUGCCAAAACUGCCUUCACACUGUUUCUCAAACAAAAUGCAAAAACUAAAGUCUUAUGUUGUGUAUAAUGAUUAAUAACUUGAAUAAUGCUCUUGCCUUUUAUUUAACCUUUUCUGUAACCUCUGUUUAAAAAAAAAAAACAUUUUGCGUUUCUCCUCAAAAGGCCUGACAAUGUUUUACUUAUACUAUCAUUUACAUCACCCGUGUCCAGCAUGUUGUCUUUGCAGGGAUCUUUUUGUUCUUUUUUUCAACUGCAUUACUAUCGUUAUCCAUCAGUACGUGUUUUGCUUUUUCCGGAUGCAUCUUCUCCUUCAGUGAGCGUCGCUCCGUGCCACGAUAUCAGAAUUAUAUGAUUAACUUCCUCUCAGAGCCGGCAGCUGCUGGUGUAUCUGGCCAGUCAGUGGAGGUGAAUGGGGUGAAACCACGAGAGAAAAGGAUUGCCCACAUGAACCCUUGCGCUCUGCAUCCACGUGCACAUUGCCGGUUGGAUUAUCCCUGCACAUUCCAGCCAGUACGGAAUCGCGUAAAUGUGCAUUUUCUUCCAAGCAAUUCUCCCACCACACCAUUAGUUUGUCAGCAUUUCGACGCUCUCUUCGGGCAGGGAUUAAAGCGGGGGAUUAGACAAUGCAUUUGCUCGCUGUGACUUUAACUUUGUUUUACCUCAAGUUAGUGUGAAAAGCUUUAUCAUGUGUUUCUCCGGAGCCCUGUUUUAGUUUUUCAGUAAGACUCACGGAUGCUAUCCAGCCCACCAGGGAGAUGUGACUAGGUUAUUUUCCCCUGGCAUGUUCAGUAAUGACAGGAAUGACUAAUGAAGAGGUGCUGCAUCUCCUGGAAAGCUUUUUGCACUUCCACAGAGACAAACUGCUUCCAAUUUUCAGGCAUGGAGAGCGGCUCUUUCAUUCCCGUUCUCACAGAAUGCAAUUUGAGACAUUUGAGGUUAACGUUGCAGGAUUUCAUUCAGCCCACAAAAUCUGAUAAAAAACGUGGUUGUUGUGACGGAUGUCCUUCUCUCCCCUAGUACAUGAGUACCCUGCCGCCUCUAUCAGCAGUAUGAGGCCCAUUAAUAUGACAAAAGACUCCCAUCUGUACAAAAAAUGUGCGCUGCGUUACACAUCACUGUAGCGACACAAACAGAUUUAGCCCAUAUGCGAAGAUUUUUAGUUAUUUUUCAGUAUUGAUUUUGUAGGAUUGCUUCCUGUCUGCUUACAGGCGAUUCUAAACCUCCUUUCUAGAUCAAUCAUACGUGAGCUGUAAGCAGCUACAGGUGUUGCUCCGGGCCUGCGCGCGCUGCAGACGCCAUCUGCUUGGUUUCUCCUUAACCUCCCUGCAGUACAUUUAAUAUAAUAAGCCAGUGCCCUUUACAGUCACAGUGUAAUAUCCGUCCAUGUAGAACUCUGCAAAUGCAGAUUAACACAGAUGGCUGGAAGCUGUAAACAAAAAGUAUCUUCCUUUCGCGCUGAAUAAAAAAGGGAUGUUGUUAAAGAACCAUCUGUCUCAUUGGAUGCUGCUGAUGAUGACCAAGAAAUACAUGAUGGCAACCAAUCACCCAUCAGCAUUCCUCAAUAAAUACCCCAAUAUUGUCAACGAAAAGCGACAAAAUAAUAUAGUUUUUUCGUCAUGGUAGUUGUUAUGACGACAAGUGCUGCUACGUUUCUGCAAUGUACGUGUUGCUGACGAGCGGCCCACCAACAGCCAUAUGCUGGUUCAUCCAUCGUCCUACCUGCCUGUCUCCACAGCCUGGAGAGGGAAGCUGUUUGUCAUCAAACACGUUUUUUUGUUUUGCUGCCAGCUUAUUAUGAUCUUUUUCUCAGUCAGAUUUUCCUUUUGUGGAGAUUUUUUUCAUUUCCAUUAAAGCCAAGUCUGAAACAAGGGAGAGGGUUUCGAGUGGGAGAAUCGGGACCAUAUUAUGACAUAAAAUUGUUCAUUUUAACCCCUUUUUGGAAAGUGGAAUACUUUGAUUUCACAUGAGCCUUGUAAAUGGCUUCAUUAAACAAAUUCCCAGAAUUGUUCAGAGUAAACAAGGAGUAAAUCCUGCAUUUGGGAGGGUCUGUUUUUAACUGCCGUGUCCUGUGAGUACUUCAUUCACCAGACGCAACGCAUGUAAUGAAGAAACGUGUCCCCCGCUGCAGUGUCACAGCUCAUUGGUGAUAGUUUUUGGAAGAAUAUUGCCUGACAUAUUAUUUAAGAGGAGAUAUAAUUUUAUCCGCACAAAACACAAAGCGAUUUUCAUGUUCCUGUGAUGCAUUUCUAUUUCAUCUACGGCUGAAUACGACACAGUGACACAGUUAGAGAGUCAAAUAAGCCAUUGAGGACAAACUUGGUGAUAAAACAAUGAAGCUAAUUAAUUAAAAACCUCAUCCCUGGGCUGCAUGGUGUCAUCAUGUGGCUUACUCUGAUUCAUAUAAUCAAUUACUUUGAGCUAACACUUUUUCCAUAAAUGCUUAAUCACCAAUGCAGCGCUCAGGAACCAUGAGCCCGGGGGCCAUUUUUACUAUUAAGUGCUCAUAUUGUUGAGCAUCCACAAUGUGUAUUCCAACUGAGGGAUGUUGCUCCAGAGCAGAACAGCAGAGCAGAACAGCAGAGCGGCCCGGACACCAAAACAUGCGACAUGCAACAGUCGGUGCACUUUAAUGCAGGCCACAGUUUAGUGUGCGCUUCAUCGCUGUGACUAUGUGGCGAUUGGGUUACGAGAUGACACACAUGCUCUGGGGGCCCCACCACAGGCUGUUUUCUAGCGAGAGACGAAAGUAAUGGACUUUUAGUUCAGCUUUCUUUUGUAACACACUCAGGGAUUGGCACUCUGAGCCUGAGGGGUGUUUGGAAAACCGCGAUAGCCGAUGCUCACCAUUAGAAACAUUUAGCCGGUUUCCACAUGGGCUUCCAGGGAGAGCAGAACAGAACAAACGUCACGUCUAUGCAAAUCUUACAAGUGAUAUAUGCCGGACACUGAGUUGCGCAACAAUAUUACUGUGACAGAUCCUCUAUGAAUAUUUAAAGAAAAGCCAGCAGAAUGAGAAAAGGUAGUGAGGCUAUUUCUUCACCGAGUUGGAACAAGGAGGAUGUGGGUGGGUGGGUGGGGGGGGAAUGAGAUGCAGCGCCGUGAUUCACUGGUUUGCUGACCCAGUUUGGAGGAGCUUCAGCAUGUGUUUCAACAAUUCACCCUGACAACCGACAAUAUGACCAGCUCCAAACUGGUCGCACUGUGGAGCACGGCUGUCAGGGUUGAGAGUGUAAUAAUGUUCCGUGUCCCUGGGUUGUGAUCGAUGGAGCACGGCCAUGUUUCGGCACACGCACACACACACACACACAGACAGACUUGUGUGCUUUAGAGUCCAGUUUCCAGUCCGUAUCAACGGCGUCAGUCCAAUAGGAAUUAUUUUUACAGUCGUGCUGUUCUUGCUGGAGCAGCAACUCAGCAAAAGAGCAGACGGUUGCUGAUGGAGUAUCACCUGUUUGGCCACACUAGCCAUGAACCGUAUGCUACUUACAGUUGCAUACGGCUGUACGCUGAGCCACUUCCUCUCCCCGAGUCCAUAGCUGACACUUUAAAGGCUACACGGUCCGGCCAGCAAUGGGCACCGCGAGACUCAUUCCCAUGUGCUCAUUAAAUAGGCUGUGGUGGAACACAGUGACAAGUUGCAGGGCUAGCUCAGUCUGAAUAAACAAUAGGUUGCUGUAGCUUUUAUAUAUAUUGUAUAUAUCAAUUUAUUUACGGCACUGUCCAGUGCACAACAAAGCUGCAACCUGAAACCUUCAUUCAAUCAUGAAAAAAUAGUUGAGCCAAAAAUGCUCACAUUUACAUAUUCGAUUAUCCCAAACGUAGAAGAAUAAAUGCAAUAAAUAAUGUGUCUGACACACCGAACAAUGUCAAACAGUUUGGGUUUGACAGGUUGACAGGAAUGAGCGCUGUUUACUCUCUCCGCUACAAGGGCGUAUUGAACCAGGUAUCUUUAAUGGCCAAAAGCCUUUCAUCAGCAGACAAUCGGUUCCCUGUAAUGAGGCCUCGUGGUGACACAAACACAGGGACCGGAUUUCCUACCAGCAAGACGGUUGUCUUGUCUCUUGUAAGGUUAUCUGCUGUUACUAUGCAAGUGUGUUGGCUUCAGGGUCUUGCCACCAACUUUAGGGCGGGAUCUUUCCACAAAUAGCUAAGUUGAAUUUUUUUUCCAAAAUGCAAAACGUAUUUAUUUAUACUCACAAUUUUUUCAUGAUUGUGCACAAAUUCACUCCCUGGCUUAAUUCCCUCGCUUAACAUUUCGCCGCCAGGAUCAAAGCCCCUCCAAACAUGCAGCUGUUGUACAUCUCUGGAUUAAACUCCACCUGUCCACCCCCUUUGCCUUCACCUUGUCCCAUCAUGACCAAAUAUGAUAAUGUUCAUUGUGAAUUUAUUUUGCCGAAGAUGCGUUUGCAUUCAACGGGGCAUAAUCACCCGUGAUUACAGGCAGAGAGCAGUCAGGCCCGCUGGCGAGGGAACGGGACAUUUGCAUAAUGUCCCGGAGCAUGUAGCACAGGUGAAGAAGCCAGUCAUUUAAAAAUGGACGAAGCUUCGGAGUGCUGGAUUCCGUGCUCGCAGGAUACCUUGCAAGAAAAAUGGGUUGUUCCUUAUUAAGACUUUGCCUUCUCCUUUGCUGGUUGCCACAAUAAAUUAACCAUUUUCUGUCAUAAUAUAAAUAAUAAUUGUCUGCUGCCAAUUCUCCCACUCAAAACCCUCUGCCUUGUUUCAGACUUGGCUUUGGAGUUUAAGGGAAAAAAUAAAUGCUUUAAAAGAAGUAAAAAAAAAUCUCCACUAAGGAAAAACUGAUUUUGAUACAUUAUAAGUUGGCUAUAAAAGAAAAACGGGUUCGAUGACAAGUGCGUGGAGGGCCGUCACGAUUAGCUGCAGUGCCAGUUACAAUGCUAGAGGCAGAAGGCCAAGUGUUUUUAUUUUAUUAGAACACAUUUAACAUACUUCAAGUGGUUUACAUAAUCAGAAAAGAGGACACCGGUUAGCAGGAACAGCAUAGAAUUAAUGCUUGAAUAGAAAAUGGAACUUUGAAAACCUUGAAGAGUAAGAGGAGCCCUUUAGACUAAACACGUUAUAAACAAAUACCUCGGACAAAUGGAGCAGAGGAGAGGUAUUUGCAUUGACUUGUUUCAGGGGGAAUGUUGUUGUUUUCAGUAUAACGUUGUGUAUUAAAACCGUCAGCUGAUGGAAAAAUUUGAAAACAGAAAAAUGCAUGGAAUCUUUUUAAAGCUUGUUAGAAGUCUGGCAGAGAAUGACCUUUCAUAACCUGGAGGAGUUGGAGUAGUAAGUUGGCUGAUGGGAUGAAAGUGUGGAUAAGAGUCUUAAUGUCUGUAAAAAAAAGAAACUGCUGCACAUCCACGGCUAAGCCAUUGAGAGGAGAAGGUCUGUUCUACACUGCAGAAAUACAUUUUUUCAAUACAUUUUUUUCAGGGAGUUAUUAUUAGAAAAUAAAGAUGAACAUUGGGAGCUAGAACAGCCAUAGUGAAUUAUUGGAAAAACUGCUUUUCUUUAACCUUUCAAAAAUGUAAAAUAAAAGCAGUAAAGACAAUAUGUGCAGUUUGAAAGACAACGUUCUGAAGUUUGACAAUGAAGAGGAUUAUAAUAUACAGCCAUGAUAGCAGCGAUAUGAGAAGUGAAAAUACAUUGGAUACAUUGACUGACGUGAGCGAUAAUGUAGAUGUAAAUAUAGUUCACUGGCACCAUUUGGGCACCAUACAUAUCUCUAAUUUCAUCACUCAACUCAAUAGCUGUUGAAAUAAUUCUCUGGCAAAACAGUCAACUUAGUUUUGGCACGGCAUGUGCUUCUUCCCCCUGGGGACAAUGUACAGCAUUUAUUAGUAAUCCAUCCGAUAGUUCCUUCAACUGUCUGAACCGACCGGGGACAACCGGCGCUCCCCAGCACAGUGCCACUAGCAGGGCUUAAACGUGGCUUAAAUGGGAUAUUGGCAUCUGUCAUGUGGUCUCUUCUCAAAAUCGACAGGGCAUGAAGCCCCAUGGAAAUAAGGAGGCCUUAUUUUUGUAACGCUACCAUCUGUGUGCAACAAAAAUUCAUUGUUUGCUGAUUUAGACACCAUGAAUGGGGGAGAAAUAAGAGUUAUACUGGGUUUGUAGCAAUGAGAGCGCCGUGUUAGCCAAAGAAAGCACGUGAAUCGAUGGGGAGGAAGAACUUCUGCUUUAAUAGAACAGCACUAUGAUUGAUGGUUUGAUAUCUCAACUGAAUAAAAAAAAAAAAACAACAGCACCGGCAUCACGGGGAUAUUAGUAUCCAAUCUCUGCUUCUGUUCUUCAGCCCUGCGGCUCUAACAACUUUCACAAUUCGUGAGUGCAAUAAAGAAACCAUAGAUUCCAGGUAAUUUGCUCCACAAUGAGGUGAGACCCGGUGAGCGCUGGCGGAAGCCUGGCAACAGCAGUUAACCUGUUCAUCGGUCAAAACAAACAAGCCUCAGCGACAACCUUUAUCAGCCCUGCAUUUCAUAACCUCGCCGGCGAGUGGCUGACAGGGAGGCCGCGUUGAAUGCUGGGAGAUGCGGCAGCCUGAGCUGCAAUCACUCUGAUCUACAGCAAUCUAUUGAUCCGCCGCGCUUGUCCAAUCAAUGCAGGGGAAGAGAAAAGGGGGAAACAAGAUUAGGGGAGAAAAUAGCCUAUUUACGAAGGGUGAAGAAGGGGCUGCACACACGUUUUGAUAAGAGGGGUCGCGUGUGGGGAUUUCGCACGCACGCGUAACAAUAGAUGAACGGAGACACACUUUUUUUUCCUUCCACGGAUCACUAGAAUAGCUCUGUAUUGUUUCCUUAGGAGUGCCAGGAAUAUAAUGAGAAAACAAGCAGACAAGGGAAAAAAAAUGUGUAAUAUGAUUAUAUUGUAAUUCAGCUUCUUCAACAGCAGCGUGAAGUUGUGUAGCUCGGGGACGUUUGUACACACUUUGUACUGAAACAUUAAGCAAAGGAGCGAAUUCAGUUGCAGUUAUCCAUGAUCGUAAAUAAACCUUUCACUUUGAGAUUUUAGGUGCCAAUUGUUAAUGGCUAAACUCAUAAGUUUGGGAACUUAUCCUCUGGCAGUUUAGGACACUUAUCAUGUAAAAAUGAGCAGUUCAAACCUCUCUUACUGAUUCACUUCCUGUUUUUCAACAUGGCAGAGGGUUUUUGCACUUGUUCCCCCUGUGUUUUAGAUGGUCAUGUUGCUUGGUAGUGCAAAUAACAAGUCGAAAAAGAGCACCGUUGCAAAACAGUGCAACAACCUUAAAGGCCUGAAUAAUUGACGCUGAUACAUAAUUAACAUGCUCAGAAUCAAAACAAGGAAUCGUCUCCACGGUCACACCGAUGCUGUUGACCCGUAAAGCUCAGGGUCUGGAACCGCAAGGCAACGCACCGCUGUUGUCUGUUGUCAGGUCUACCUUUCCAGUAUUCGUCUCUCUCUCUCUCUCUCCCCCUCUUAAAGAGAGCGUCUCUCUGUCUGAGUCAAACAAAGGGGCCUCAGGGUGCUGACACUGAGGGGGGGGGGUUCAGGGCUGAUGGGAAAGUUCCUUUCAAAAUGAAUCGAAUGAAAAUAAUGAAUGAACACACAGACGACAAACAACUUUCUGAAAGGUAGUUACUUGAGUCCUUGGUUGUCAAAAUGACAGGUUGGUUGUAUUUCCAUAUCUUUUUCGAUAGAUGUGUCUUUCUGUGAGCAUUUGUAAGGCACUCAUGUGCACUUAAUUGAACCCUUUGCGUCCCGCUAUCACGACUGUAAAAUAGACACACAAGAAUGUUCCGUUUUGUCACGGCCCAACAAUUAGUCAUUUUGUCCAUAACUCAGUGUUUAAACUCUCUAAAAGCUUUACGUUUUACAUUUUUACCCUCUCAGGCAAAACAAUACUGAGCCAGAAAAUGUCCUCCAUUAAAAGUUUAAAUUAUUACAUAUGACUCUGCAGCAAUUAGCUUCCAUUCCGUGGUGAAGGCCUCCCUAUUUCACACUGUCCGGGACGCAGGAGAUGCAAAGCAGUCCGUCGCAUGAGGAUUUAAUUACGCCGCUAAGAAUUUCCCUCCAUCUAAAUCACGCGGCUGACGCUUCUAAUGGGGUCCAAAUAAAGUCAGCUCAUUUAUGAAGCCGUUAAUGUGUUCAGCAGCACUCCAGUUGUAGACCAUGUGUUUGUGGCCAUUACGCCAUCCAAGACAAUGUGUCUCCAACUCAUUUUUCAACACGCUUCAGGGAAAACCCUCUUCACUGCAGCUCGCUGCAGUCUGAGCAAGUUUGGAAGAAAAAAAAUAUAUAUUGGCAGCGACUAUUUAUUUGGAGGAUAAGGCAUUAAAAGCAUUUGCAUAAUCUGAGCAGGGCGCUGCAGCUGGCCCGCGACAACAUUAAAUCGUACCAGCCUAAUUUUACUCUUAUCGUCUCUGUGCGGAAAGAGGAGCAGCAAAAAUGAACUGUUCAUCCCUUUUACAUUUAUUUAUUCUCUCUCUCUCUCUCCCGGCUGCUACUGUUCAUUUAGAGACCACGUCUUCUGGGAGAGAUAUCGCAUGUUGUUUUACGAGUGUGUUAAAAACCAGUGGCCAUGAAAAAAGCCAAUACUGUGGAAGCAACCUUUUAGAUAAGGUGAGACAAGGCCCUCAGGGGUGCUCGUGUUUUCAUAGAGGUGUUCUAACGGCAUAGAGACAUAAAACACGAUCUUACAGAUAUGAGACACUUAUUGAUGCAGAGGGGCUAAAAAAAGAGAAGGAUGUUGGAGACGACGAGACCGCAUAUUUGAGUCAUACAUUUGCUACUGAAAGCGGAGAGAAGUAGGCAGAAGAUUGUUUGCUCGUGUCAAAGAAGCACCAGUACAGAUCAGUGGCGCGAAACCCACCAUCACAACUUGAUGACAAGCCGCAACACAACCCGCGUGUCACGACCCACCAGCUGGGAACGACUGCUCUGGAUUUACGUGAAUUUGUAAAAGUUGUUAGCUUUAAAACAUCCAAGUAAAAUAUUUUACUGGAUUGCUAUAGAUUUUAUGAAUUAUAUGUUUGGUCAAGGUGGGGGGUAAUUGUAUCUACUUAUACUGCUGCUGGGUACAUUACCCAAUAACAAUCAGAAUUUCAUUGAUUUCGUUUGUACACAAAUCGAUGUUCCCGGCAGUGUGCGAAGUCAUAAAGCUGUGUCAGAUAAGAGUGGAAAGUGCAUUUGUGUGUGUCUGUUGCACACAUUGAUAUUGGGAAGCGGCAGGUAAUACAUUAACAAAGGAAACACAGCUGUCACAACAAAAAAUAAUGGGCGCAUCCCUGGGACAAAGCUGGUGUACCAAGGGCGAAAAACAACAACCGCAUUCCUCCACAUCCGGCAGACACGGAGAAACACGAGGAUCCUUACGGGAUGGAAAAUCUGCCUCUUGUGGCCAAUAGUGCGGAUGUAUUAUUGCACUCCAAUAAAAAACUGUCAGGCCGAAGACCGACAGAAUAAACAGGAUGAAAAUCAAUGAAACAGAACCAGCAAUGUCCUUGUUAAAACUUGGCGCCUUCACUACCCACAAUGCAGCCCGACUGCACCCCGGUGCUAUGCUACUAGUUAGCCUUAAGCUGAUACAACGUCAUACCGGUACAACCAGUUUAGGUUUAAAGCCUUGUUCCAAUUGUAAUGGGAUUAACUAAGAUAAUUAAGACCUUGAUUAAAGUAGAAUAUGUUUAAUAAUUUGGGGGAAUUUGAAGUUGACAACACCAAAGAAAACUUUUUAAAGAGUCCGUAGAGUCCAAAUGUCCGCUUGAAUGUACAAAAGGUUUAGGAAAUUUUAAAAACAAAUUAAAAGGACCUCCCUAUCGAGGCUGCACAAUGCAACCAAAAUAUCCCCAAAAAACAACCGUUCAAAUGUCCCCCUCUUCAACAUGCAAAAGUAACAGGAAAACCAAUGCUUUGCUAAAGACCCUUCAAACAAAGCAAACUCGCCGGAAGGGGGAAUGGUAAUCUGGCCUCGGCUUGAUUUCAAGUCCUCUGCUCAAUAGUUACAGUCCUCAAUCACACGCAUUUCCUUGUUCACUUCAGAUCAACAAAGCACAACCAUUAAAAGCAAAACGCUUUUUGUUCACCUGAAGGCUGCUGGGCUUUACCACUCUAACCUUCAACUCCGUGCCUCAUUCUCCUCAUCACGACCCCUUGCGACUGUGAUGCAGGAAAAAGCCGAUCACCUGACCAGUGUUGCCUCGGCGACAUCUUCUUCUUCUUUGGAGUGUUUCCAGCAGUUGGCGUUCUUAAUGCCCCACGCUGGUUCUAAUCAAGCCUCUGUUAGUACGUACUACGCAAUGGAUACAGUGCAUCAGAUGUUAGACUUUAAAAGGGAUUUAGGAAGAAUCCACCUUGUGUUUGUAUACAUUUGUGAGGCGAUUUUAAAAUUGAGAAUAGAAAACUUAUUCAAUUCUGAGUCUUGUUUCUGUUGUUGAAAGCCAAACAAAAGUCAAAAGACACCUUCGGUGUCAGUGGUUUGUAACAUGUAUAUAUAUAGUAUUACAUUACAUUACACAGGAACAGUAAAUGAUGGUGCAACAUUGGUUUUGUAGUGUUAUUGCCGCAUUGUCAAACGUUUCAGCGCAUUCAUCGAUGUGAGAAGCAAUGUCUCCUCUGCUCACUUAAAAAAAAUUCAAAAAACUGUCCAGCUGAAGAAGUAAUUUCAUCUCACAUCGUUGCCUCUCAUUGGAUUUUCUGAAAUACGAUAAACAGCUCUUGCGCAUCAAGAAAAGCUGGUGUCAACGUGUUAUUAUGUCUGACUUCUGUGUCACGGAAUUGAUGAUUAUGAAAAUGGGUUCAUGGGCCCAGUAUUUAAAAUAAAUAAAUGUGAGUUUUAACCCCAAAAAUAAGAUUCUACUUAGUAGUAGUUUUGGGACUUCUUCUUCUUCCCCCGCCCUCGACCUCCAUGCAGCUUCACGCUCCAUAGAGCCACAGCCCUGAGGGCCCAGCGCUCCAUCCUCAUCCGUCAUCCUGAAGGGGGGGGCGGGGCUAGAUUCACGUUUUCCUCAAGGCGGGAGGCGGCGUGAGGGAUGUCAGACAAUGCAGAUGGAUGGGCGGGGUUACAACAGGGCCACCUGGGCCACGCACACAGCACACGCAGGGGCCGCGUUGGCUCCUCACCUCCAGCUUGGCCACUGCUAUUCCAUCCUCGGGUACCUGCAGCAGAGCCGUAGGGCUGCUCACAGAAUCCUCUGUCAGAGGGGAGGUUCUUCUCGACGGCGCUAUCGUAUGAAGGCAGCGGACACGGCGGCGACAGUGAGGGAGUCGUGCAGACGCCCACCGCUGGGAGGAUGACACAGACACUGACGCUGCUGUUGCGAUACCGUAACCAGGCAACAGGAAACCUCACACACUGACCGCUGACACCACAUAGUGAUAUAAAUAUGGGUUAACAUUCUCUCUCUCUCUCUCUCUCUCUCUCUCUCUUUCCUGUCUCUCUCCCUCUCGCUAGUUUUUCUGUCAAACCCCGGUGGACGUGACUCCAGUUCAGACACAAAAGCAGCUGAGCCGAGCGUCCGCUUCCUCCACCUACUCGUUCUCUGCAACACCAUCACACGCCUCCUCUUUCCUCUCGUAUUCCGUACGUCCCUCUCCUCCUUCUCUGUAGUGUACACCACAUCCUCCCUCCGGCUCCUUGAGCGUUUUGUUUUCUGCACCUCCUCAUUGCCCUACACCUCAUUUGGCCUCUGCAACACCCUUCUCCUUGCCUGCGCCCACCUCCUCGUAGCCCUCCUCCUCCUCCUCUACAGCGCCCGGCACCUCCUCGUCCAUCUUCAUAGUACUCACCUUCUCCUUCACGGCCCCCUCCGAGACUCCGCAGACAGGUGUGCAUUUCACACGCUGUUUGUUUCCCCCUGUUUUGUCAUUCUGCCGGGCUCCAGCGGUCACCAUUAAUAACCCCUGUUCGCUCUCGCUGCCUGUUCCCCUGCCUCCCGGCUGAUGUUCCUUCCAGCCCGUUGGCUGGGACGCCGGGCUCCGAGCCCCCCGGUGCACGGAGAUGAAGCCAGACACGCAGGUACCAAAAUCCGGACAGCAAUCUGUGCACAGCAAGGCAAACAGCAACGUGAGCUCCCAGAAUACUAAUAGUCCCACAGAAAGAACACUGUGAAUUACAAAGUAGGUGUAAGAAUGUAACAAUGAGAUAGUUUGUACCUCGUUGUUCUGUAAACAAGUAGUGAACCAGAUUCAUCGGUUUGUUUAGAAGUUGCAUUGCACUAUUCUCUGACAAUAUGUGCAA